GACGAACGCUGGCGGCGUGCCUGACACAUGCAAGUCGUACGGUCCGUGAUUGAUCAAGCUUGCUUGAUUGGUCGUGGAUAGUGGCGGACGGGUGAGUAACGCGUGAACACCUACCCAUUGGAGGGGGUACAACCCGUCGAAAGGCGGGCUAAUACCGCGUAAGCCGCGAGGUGAAAGGCUGCCUUUUGGUGGCUGCCGAUGGAUGGGUUCGCGUCCUAUCAGCUUGUUGGUGGGGUAAUGGCCUACCAAGGCGAAGACGGGUAGCUGGUCUGAGAGGAUGAUCAGCCACACUGGCACUGAAACACGGGCCAGACUCCUACGGGAGGCAGCAGGAAGGAAUUUUGGACAAUGGGGGAAACCCUGAUCCAGCAACGCCGCGUGGGCGAUGAAGGUCUUCGGAUCGUAAAGCCCUUUUCUGCGGGAAGAGAGAGGACGGUACCGCAGGAAUAAGUCUCGGCUAACUACGUG
rnacentral:rRNA from 1 species